CUACGGGUUGCACCAGUGGGGAAUAUUGCACAAUGGGCGAAAGCCUGAUGCAGCAACGCCGCGUGAGCGAUGAAGGCCUUCGGGUCGUAAAGCUCUGUCCUUAAGGAAGAAUUUUGACGGUACUUGAGGAGGAAGCCCCGGCUAACUACGUGCCAGCAGCCGCGGUAAUACGUAGGGGGCUAGCGUUAUCCGGAAUUACGGGGCGUAAAGGGUGCGUAGGUGGUCUGACAAGUCAGGGGUGAAAGGCUACGGCUCAACCGUAGUAAGCCCUUGAAACUGUCGGACUUGAGUGCAGGAGAGGAAAGUGGAAUUCCCAGUGUAGCGGUGAAAUGCGUAGAUAUUGGGAGGAACAUCAGUGGCGAAGGCGACUUUCUGGACUGUAACUGACACUGAGGCACGAAAGCGUGGGGAGCAAACGGGAUUAGAUACCCUCGUAGUC
rnacentral:rRNA from 1 species